GAUGAACGCUGGCGGCGUGCCUAAUACAUGCAAGUCGAGCGAACAGACGAGGAGCUUUCUCCUCUGACGUUAGCGACGGACGGGUAAGUAACACGUGGAUAACCUACCUAUAAGACUGGGAUAACUUCGCGAAACCUGAUCUAAUACCCGAUCAUAUAUUGAACCUCAUGGUUCAAUAGUGAAAGACGGUUUUGCUGUCACUUAGACAUGUAUCCUGGCCGCAUUAGCUAGUUGGUAAGGUAACGGCUUACCAAGGCGACGAUGCGUAGCCGACCUGAGAGGAUGAUCGGCCACACUGGAACUGAGACACGGUCCAGACUCCUACGGGAGGCAGCAGUAGGGAAUCUUCGGCAAUGGGCGAAAGCCUGACGGAGCCACGCCGCGUGAGUGAUGAAGGUCUUCGGAUCGUAAAACUCUGUUAUUAGGGAAGAACAAAUGUGUAAGUAAAUAUGCACGUCUUGACGGUACCUAAUCAGAAAGCAACGGCUAACUACGUG
rnacentral:rRNA from 1 species